AUGCAAGUCCUCCGCGGUUUUGAAGAUCCCACCGGGCUCCGCAUCAAUCCUGCUAAGUCAACAGCGGCGCCGAUACAAUGCGGCGCCAUCGAUAUGGAAAACAUCCUGCAAUCCUUUGGAGGUUCUAUUGUCAGCUUCCCGAUCAGAUACCUCGGCAUGCCGCUAACUCUCGGGCGGAUCAGGGUGGUGCACCUGCAAUACCUCCUCGAUCGAAUCAAGUCCGGGCUUGCGGGAUGGAAGGGAUGGCUCAUGCCCAUCUCCGGCAGAUGGGUGCUCGUCAGGAGCGUGCUCUCCGCGCUCCCGGCUUUUGUGAUCGCAGUGCUGCGUGCCCCGAAGAAAUUCCUCAAAGACAUCGACAAAGUGCGUUGA
rnacentral:rRNA from 1 species